UGGGGAAUAUUGGACAAUGGGCGCAAGCCUGAUCCAGCCAUGCCGCGUGUGUGAAGAAGGCCUUCGGGUUGUAAAGCACUUUUGUUCGGGAAGAAAUCGUGCGGAUUAAUACUUCGUACGGAUGACGGUACCGAAAGAAUAAGCACCGGCUAACUUCGUGCCAGCAGCCGCGGUAAUACGAAGGGUGCAAGCGUUACUCGGAAUCACUGGGCGUAAAGCGUGCGUAGGCGGUUGGUUAAGUCUGCUGUGAAAGCCCUGGGCUCAACCUGGGAACUGCAGUGGAUACUGGCUAGCUAGAGUGUGAUAGAGGAUGGUGGAAUUCCCGGUGUAGCGGUGAAAUGCGUAGAGAUCGGGAGGAACACCAGUGGCGAAGGCGGCCAUCUGGAUCAACACUGACGCUGAGGCACGAAAGCGUGGGGAGCAAACAGG
rnacentral:rRNA from 1 species